rnacentral:rRNA from 1 species
CCCGCGAACCCGUGAAAAACACCGGGGCCGUCGGCGCGCCACGCGGCGCGCCGUCGCCCCGACGCCGGUGCGGAAGACGCGCGGAGCCACCCCUCGGGGCGGCGCCCGCGCGUCCCCUCCCCGGCACAACAACGAACCCCGGCGCGGACAGCGCCAAGGAACUUCAAACGAGUGAUCGUCCCCCGGCCGCCCCCUCGGGGCGUGCCGCGGGAACUUUGUCUUCGAUACUUUAACGACUCUCGGCAACGGAUAUCUCGGCUCUCGCAUCGAUGAAGAACGUAGCGAAAUGCGAUACUUGGUGUGAAUUGCAGAAUCCCGUGAACCAUCGAGUCUUUGAACGCAAGUUGCGCCCGAAGCCAUUCGGCCGAGGGCACGUCUGCCUGGGCGUCACGUACCGCGUCGCCCCCCCAACCCCGCGCCCACCGCGCGUGCGGGCGGGUUGCGGGGGGCGGAGACUGGCCUCCCGUGCCCCCGGCACGGUUGGCCCAAAAGCGAGCCUCGAGACGACGAAAAGUCACGACAAGCGGUGGUUGACGGGCUUCGGCUCCCUCGAUCGUGUCGUGAUGGUCCCGUCCUCGCAGGGCUCGGAAAUCUCAGAGGCGCCGCUCGCGCGGCGCUUGCAUCGCGACC